UCGAACGGUAACGCGGGGCAACCUGGCGACGAGUGGCGAACGGGUGAGUAAUAUAUCGGAACGUGCCCAGUAGUGGGGGAUAGCCCGGCGAAAGCCGGAUUAAUACCGCAUACGACCUGAGGGUGAAAGCGGGGGAUUCGCAAGAACCUCGCGCUAUUGGAGCGGCCGAUAUCAGAUUAGCUUGUUGGUGGGGUAAAAGCCUACCAAGGCUACGAUCUGUAGCUGGUCUGAGAGGACGACCAGCCACACUGGGACUGAGACACGGCCCAGACUCCUACGGGAGGCAGCAGUGGGGAAUUUUGGACAAUGGGCGCAAGCCUGAUCCAGCCAUGCCGCGUGCGGGAAGAAGGCCUUCGGGUUGUAAACCGCUUUUGUCAGGGAAGAAACGGUCUGGUCUAAUACACCGGACUAAUGACGGUACCUGAAGAAUAAGCACCGGCUAACUACGUGCCAGCAGCCGCGGUAAUACGUAGGGUGCGAGCGUUAAUCGGAAUUACUGGGCGUAAAGCGUGCGCAGGCGGCUUUGCAAGACAGAUGUGAAAUCCCCGGGCUCAACCUGGGAACUGCAUUUGUGACUGCAAGGCUGGAGUGCGGCAGAGGGGGAUGGAAUUCCGCGUGUAGCAGUGAAAUGCGUAGAUAUGCGGAGGAACACCGAUGGCGAAGACAAUCCCCUGGGCCU
rnacentral:rRNA from 1 species